UUGGACAAUGGGGGCAACCCUGAUCCAGCCAUGCCGCGUGAGUGAAGAAGGCCCUCGGGUUGUAAAGCUCUUUUGUCCGGACAGAGAAGCUUCGGGUUAAUACCACGGGGUUCUGACGGUACCGGAAGAAUAAGCACCGGCUAACUUCGUGCAAGCAGCCGCGGUAAUACGAAGGGUGCAAGCGCUACUCGGAAUUACUGGGCGUAAAGCGUGCGUAGGUGGUUGUUUAAGUCUGAUGUGAAAGCCCUGGGCUCAACCUGGGAAUGGCAUUGGAAACUGGGCAGCUAUCGUGCGGUAGGGGAUAGGGGAAUUCCCGGUGUAGCAGUGAAAUGCGUAGAGAUCGGGAGGAACAUCUGUGGCGAAGGCGACUGCCUGGACCAGCACUGACACUGAGGCACGAAAGCGUGGGGAGCAA
rnacentral:rRNA from 1 species